rnacentral:rRNA from 1 species
UACGGGGGAUGCAAGCGUUAUCCGGAAUCAUUGGGCGUAAAGCGCCUGUAGGUUGUUUAAUAAGUCUGUUGUUAAAGACUAGGGCUCAACCCUAGAAAAGCAAUGGAAACUACUAGACUAGAGUAUGGCAGGGGUAGAGGGAAUUUCUAGUGUAGCGGUGAAAUGCGUAGAUAUUAGAAAGAACACCGGUGGCGAAAGCGCUCUACUGGACCAUUACUGACACUCAGAGGCGAAAGCUAGGGUAGCAAAAGGGAUUAGAUACCCCUGUAGUCCUAGCCGUAAACGAUGGAUACUAGAUGUUGUGCUUCAUGUACAGUAUCGUAGCUAACGCGUUAAGUAUCCCGCCUGGGGAGUACGCUCGCAAGGGUG